rnacentral:rRNA from 1 species
UACGUAGGGAGCAAGCGUUGUCCGGAAUCAUUGGGCGUAAAGCGCGCGUAGGUGGCCCUGUAAGUCCGUUGUGAAAGUCAAAGGCUCAACCUUUGAAUGCCGAUGGAUACUGCAGGGCUAGAGUACGGAAGAGGCGAGUGGAAUUCCUGGUGUAGCGGUGGAAUGCGCAGAUAUCAGGAGGAACACCAAUAGCGAAGGCAGCUCGCUGGGACGUUACUGACACUAAGGCGCGAAAGCGUGGGGAGCGAACAGG